rnacentral:rRNA from 1 species
AUGUACAUUCCUACAACAUAGCGCUAAUGCAUUGGAUCCCAUUAGAACUCCAUAGUUAAGCGCGCUCAGGCUAGAGUAGUAUUGGGAUGGGUGAUCGCCCGAGAAGUCCUAGUGUUUUACAUG